rnacentral:rRNA from 1 species
AUUGAACGCUGGCGGCAGGCCUAAAACAUGCAAGUCGAGCGAGCGGCGGACGGGUGAGUAAAGCCUGGGAAACUGCCUGAUGGAGGGGGAUAACCACGGGAAACGGUAGCUAAUACCGCAGACCAUAAGAGGUGCUCAGAAGGGAUUAGGUAGUAGGUGGGGUAACGGCUCACAUAGGCGACGACCCCCAGCUGGUCGGAGAGGAUGACCAGCCACACUGGAACGGAGAGACGUUCCAGACUCCUACGGGAGGAAGCAGUGGGGAAUAUUGCACAAUGGGCUCAAGCCUGAUGCAGCCAUGCCGCGUGUGUGAAGAAGGCCUUCGGGUUGUAAAGCACUUUCAGCGGGGAGGCGUUACCCGCAGAAUAAGCACCGGCUAACUCCGUGCCAGCAGCCGCGGUAAUAC